rnacentral:rRNA from 1 species
CCUACGGGCGGCAGCAGUGAGGAAUAUUGGUCAAUGGACGAGAGUCUGAACCAGCCAAGUAGCGUGAAGGAUGACUGCCCUAUGGGUUGUAAACUUCUUUUAUAUGGGAAUAAAAUGUUCCACGUGUGGGAUUUUGUAUGUACCAUAUGAAUAAGGAUCGGCUAACUCCGUGCCAGCAGCCGCGGUAAUACGGAGGAUCCGAGCGUUAUCCGGAUUUAUUGGGUUUAAAGGGAGCGUAGGUGGAUUGUUAAGUCAGUUGUGAAAGUUUGCGGCUCAACCGUCACAUUGCAGUUGAAACUGGCAGUCUUGAGUACAGUAGAGGUGGGCGGAAUUCGUGGUGUAGCGGUGAAAUGCUUAGAUAUCACGAAGAACUCCGAUUGCGAAGGCAGUUCACUGGACUGCAACUGACACUGAGGCUCGAAAGUGUGGGUAUCAAACAGGAUUAGAUACCCGUGUAGUC